rnacentral:rRNA from 1 species
AGAGUUUGAUCCUGGCUCAGAACGAACGCUGGCGGCGUACAUAACACAUGCAAGUCGGACGAGAAAUUCCGCUUCGGCGGGAGAGUAAAGUGGCGAACGGGUGAGUAAUACAAGGGUAAUCUGCCCUUAAAUUAGGGAUAACCUUGCGAAAGCGAAGCUAAUACCUGAUAAGACUACGACUUCUUAGGUUGUUGUAGGGAAAGAUGGCCUCUGUUUCAAGCUAUCGUUUAAGGAUGAGCCCUUGCACUAUUAGCUUGUUGGUGGGGUAAUGGCCUACCAAGGCUACGAUGGUUAGCUGGUCUGAGAGGAUGACCAGCCACACUGGAACUGAGACACGGUCCAGACUCCUACGGGAGGCAGCAGUGAGGAAUAUUGCGCAAUGGGGGAAACCCUGACGCAGUGACGCCGCGUGAGUGAUGAAGGCUUUCGAGUCGUAAAGCUCUGUUAGGUGGAAAGAAACAUUCCAACGCUAAUAUCGUUGGAACUUGACGGUACCACCAGAGGAAGCACCGGCUAACUCCGUGCCAGCAGCCGCGGUAAUACGGAGGGUGCAAGCGUUGUUCGGAAUUACUGGGCGUAAAGGGCGUGUAGGCGGUUAGGCAAGUCAGGUGUGAAAUCCCUUGGCUCAACCAAGGAAGUGCGCUUGAAACUGCUUAACUAGAGUACAGGAGGGGAAAGUGGAAUUCCCAGUGUAGAGGUGAAAUUCAUAGAUAUUGGGAGGAACACCGGUAGCGAAGGCGGCUUUCUGGCCUGAUACUGACGCUGAGACGCGAAAGCGUGGGGAGCAAACAGGAUUAGAUACCCUGGUAGUCCACGCUGUAAACGAUGUGCACUAGGUGUAGGAAGUGUUGACCCUUUCUGUGCCGAAGCUAACGCAUU